UACGAAGGGGGCGAGCGUUGUCCGGAGUUACUGGGCGUAAAGGGCAUGCAGGCGGUCCGACACGUUUUGUGUGACAGCGGGUGGCUUAACUACCCGAGGAUACGAAAGACGGUUGGACUUGAGGACUCGAGAGGGACACGGAAUUCCGGGUGGAGUGGUGAAAUGCGCAGAUAUCGGGAGGAACACCAAUUGCGAAGGCAGCUCGCUGGGACGUUACUGACGCUGAGACGCGAAAGCGUGGGGAGCAAACAGG
rnacentral:rRNA from 1 species